rnacentral:rRNA from 1 species
CCUACGGGCGGCUGCAGUGGGGAAUAUUGCACAAUGGGCGCAAGCCUGAUGCAGCCAUGCCGCGUGUGUGAAGGAGGCCUUCGGGUUGUAAAGCACUUUCAGCGGGGAGGAAGGCGGUGAGGUUAAUAACCUCAUCGAUUGACGUUACCCGCAGAAGAAGCACCGGCUAACUCCGUGCCAGCAGCCGCGGUAAUACGGAGGGUGCAAGCGUUAAUCGGAAUUACUGGGCGUAAAGCGCACGCAGGCGGUCUGUCAAGUCGGAUGUGAAAUCCCCGGGCUCAACCUGGGAACUGCAUUCGAAACUGGCAGGCUAGAGUCUUGUAGAGGGGGGUAGAAUUCCAGGUGUAGCGGUGAAAUGCGUAGAGAUCUGGAGGAAUACCGGUGGCGAAGGCGGCCCCCUGGACAAAGACUGACGCUCAGGUGCGAAAGCGUGGGGAGCAAACAGGAUUAGAUACCCCUGUAGUC